CCCACUUGCUCCUGAAGCUCUCAAUCCUCUUCCCGGGCUUCGAGAUGGCGUUGGAGCCGCCAUACGCGACGAAGCUCGCGCACACGAAGAGAGGACCGCGAGAGAGCCGGAGGGAGAAGUAGUGGCGCAGCAAGGCCACCGAAGGCUGCACCCCGACAUGAGCCUCGCAAUAAUAUGAGAAGAUCGCCAGAAGAAGGACAGAGUUGGGGUGGAGGUGCAGAGCUUGCAGGUCGUAAUGGCGGAGGACAAAGAAGAAGAACUCAGAGAAAGGAGGUACCAGACCGGAAGCAAUGGCGCUUACGAAGAGCGGGUAGGAGGUGCUCCCUUGGGCCUCAGGAGGGGCGGAGACGGCCUUGAACACCUGCGCCCCAUUGAUGCCUUGCGCCGCCACCAUCCGGCGCAUCCGGGCAAGGCUCGCCUCCGACACGUUCGGCGAAUCCAAGGCAGGCGAAUACCAAGCUUCGGCCGGGGUCUGGCGAGGCGCCAUGACUCGCUAAGGUGCGCGGUCGAAGCAGAUCUCAAGAUUUCGAAGGCAGAAGGGAAGGGCGCAAGAAAGGGGAUCUAGGCAAUGACCGGAGGAGCAAGGGAAGCAAAGCCUAGGCAGACGCCGCUUGAGGGAGUCCCGGACUAGGGGGUGUCCGGAUAGCCGAACUAUCUGUUGGGGAACGUAGCAGAAAUUCAAAAUUUUCCUACGUGUCACCAAGAUCUAUCUAUGGAGAGACCAGCAACGAGUAGAAAGAGAGUGCAUCUACAUACCCUUGUAGAUCGCUAAACGGAAGCGUUCAAGUGAACGGGGUUGAUGGAGUCGUACUCGUCGUGAUUCAAAUCACCGAUGAUCCUAGUGCCGAACGGACGGCACCUCCGNNNNNNNNNNGAGACCAUGAAUCAUCUUGUAUCCCAAAUCAGAAACAUAAUAUUUUCUAUAUAUACAGUACAGACUAGAGAAAGAGAGAAGGGAAAGGCAACGCACCAGUGAUGUGGAACCCCGGGGAAGACGGUGGCGAGAUACCUCAGAAUGGCAUGACUUUCAAAGAGUUUGAAUCUUCCAUCAACGAUUGUUGGGACCUGCGCCAUGGGGUUGAUUUCUACGCAAGGAAAUAAUACUACAUACAGUCAGUAUAUAGAUAGAUAGAUAGAUAGAUAGAGAGUGGUCAAUCAGUUGACUAGUACAUACAGUGAAAACAAGAAAACAAGAAAUCAAGAAAGAAAGAAAUCAAGAAAUCAAGAAAUCAAGAAAUUACUGGUGAAUUCGUGUGCGCGGUGUUGUCCCUUGGCGAGAUCCACGGUGAGCUCCUGGAAGUCGAUCCGGUUGACCUUGCAGAAGAUGAUGAUGGCGCGCGACGGCUGCGACAGCCGGUCCGCGUACACCUUCAGCACCGCCGCCAUCGCCACCCCCUUUCUGCCGGGCUCUGCUCUACCUCUGCUCUGCUCUGCCUGCUUAGGGAAGAUAAGACAAGACAAGAAAAAAGAGGAGGAAGAAGAAGAUGAGAGACGGCAGAUCCCCUUCCUUCCUUCCUUGCCUUCACACGCAUACCCUGACGUCAUCACCAUCUUCUCCCGUCCCACCCCCAUUCUUUUUUUUAUACUACUCCUCUUGUUCACUUUUAUAAAACCUUAAAGACAUUUGAAACAAUAUGCAAAACAACGCAUUUUGAGUUAUCUGAAACGACCUGCAAAAAUGAAUAGAGAGAGUAGUACAAAUGCCCGUGGGUCGCACCGGGUGAUAAAAAUGGCACAACCUGCUUCAUGUCAUUUUUUAUAUCCAAUUUUAAUAAAUAAACUAUCAUAAUAAUGUUGAAUGUGGAAUUUUCCAUAUUUUUAAUAAAAGUUAAUGUUUUCAUUCAAAAUGUAACACCUUUUGAAGAAUAGUUACCAUUUUUUGAAAUUUGGGCACUUUUAAACUAUUUUUAUGUAUUUAAUUUUUGGGCAUUUUUGUUUGGUGACUUUUACAGAUAGUUGGUUGUUUCGGCUUGGCCCAAACAAAAUAGUUAACAUACACACAAGGACCCACGAACUCACCUUCCUACUCCUGCUCUAGUACUCCCUUGUGUUCUUCUUAAAAAAAAAGUACUUCCUUGUGUUCUACUUAAAAAAAAUAGUACUUCCUUGUGCGCCGCCGUGAGGGCACUUCCUUAUCUUUCCUCGUUCUCCAAUACUCCCUUGUGUGCCGCCGCCGCCCCGCGUAGAUGAUUUACACAAGGUGAGAUGCGGUCUGCCGUUCAAGGCCAUCGCCGCCACCGGCGGCAAGGCGAGAGCUAUUGCGGGUAGAACCGCUUGCGUCUGGCGCACCUAACCAUAGCCUAAGUUGUGGCAUCUGCUCCACGUUGUUGUUCCUCGCCUAACAACAUCGCGUGCGGGGGCUGUCAACUGUUACCCUGAGAUACAGUAGGAGCUUGUGCAGACUCACUUGAAGUUUGGACCUAGAUGCAAGCUCUUUUCGAAAGUUCAUUAUAAUAAGUUCUGUUAUAUAAUUUACAUUUUCAGUUAUUGAUAAAGUAAAUAUGCUCGCGCGUUGCAACAGGAGAAACAAAUCAAAAACUUGCCAAUAAUUCUUUCUGUAUGUAGCGAAGCCCUACCAAAAUCUCAACAUUGUCUAGACCUUCCAAGCACCCACUUCCUAUUUCAAACUCAUUUGAAUUAAAUUCAAAUGCUUCCAUACAUGACUAUUUCCAUUUUCCUGGAUCAAUCUCAUUUUUUUCCUGGAAAAUAACCCCAUGUCCAAACUCUCCUAGCCCUCUCUUUCUUUCUCUAAAUCUCUAUUUUUUAUUCUUCAAAAAUAUCUCUAUUCUUUAGUUUAUAGAAAGAGAGAGAAUCUUCCAGCCGAGGCCCACGAACUCACCUUCCUACUCCUGCUCUAGUACUCCAUUGGGUUCUUCUUAAAAAAAGUACUUCUUUGUGUUCUACUUAAAAAAAAUUUGUACUCCCUUGUGUUCUUAAAUAAAAGUACUUCCUUGUGUUCUACUUCAAAAAAAUAGUACUCCCUUGUGCGCCGCCGUGAGGGCACUUCCUUAUCUUUCCUCAUUCUCCAAUACUCCCUUGUGUGCCGCCGCCGCCCCGCGUAGAUGAUUUACACAAGGUGAGAUGCGGUCUGCCGUUCGAGGCCAUCGCCGCCACCGGCAACAAGGCGAGAGCUAUUGCGGGUAGAACCGCUUGCGUCUGGCGCACCUAAGCCCUAGCCUAAGUUGUGGCAGCUGCUCCACAUCAUUGUUCCUCGCCUAACAACAUCGUGUGUGGGGGCGGUCAACUGUUACCCUGAGAUACAGUAGGAGCUUGUGCAGACUCACUUGAAGUUUGGACCUCGAUGCAAGCUUUUUUCGGAAGUUCAUUACAAUAAGUUCUGUUAUAUAAUUUACAUUUUCAGUUAUUGAUAAAGUAAAUAUGUUCGCGCGUUGCAACAGGAGAAACAAAUCAAAAACUUGCCAAUAAUUCUUUCUGCAUGUAGCGAAGCCCUACCAAAAUCUCACAUUGUCUAGACCUUCCAAACACCCACUUCCUAUUUCAAACUCAUUUGAAUUAAAUUCAAAUGCUUCCAUACAUGACUAUUUCUAUUUUCCUGGAUCAAUCUCAUUUUUUUCCUGGAAAAUAACCCCAUGUCCAAACUCUCCUAGCCCUCUCUUUCUUUCUCUAAAUCUCUAUUUUUUAUUCUUCAAAAAUAUCUCUAUUCUUUAGUUUAUAGAAAGAGAGAGAAUCUUCCAGCCGAGCCCACAAACAAGCACAGAGGCGAGACGCGCCCGAUCCCCAUCACCAGCAACUCCGCCAAGCCGCUCCUGCUUUCCUCCUCCUAGCGCUUGCGCGGCGCCCGCCUCCAUCUGUGCUAUGACAAUCCAGCCCGUUGGUGAGUCCGUCUGGAGGCUGUUUGAGCGUCAAGGGGGACUCCUGAGCAUCGCGAAUCAGGAGCCUAACUGGUCACGUAGCCCCUCACUCCUUAUUUCUGAAAGGCUAAGGGCAGUUGAGGUGUGCGCGGGGCCAGGCUCUGCAGACGUAGAAUGGUAGAUUCACCCACACAUCUCACCUCCCUACUUGCUGUUCGCGCGCCAAAGGGGACUCCUGAGCAUCGCGACUCAGGAGCCUAACUUGUCACGUAGCCCCUCGCUCCUUGGUCCCGUCCUGGUUUCCGGUCGGGGCUAACGGCGGCUGAGGUAUGCGCGGGGCCGGGCUCUGCCGGCGUAGAACAUAAGCAAGUAGGAAGAGCGCAAAUUUCAAGGAAUUCAAAAGCAAAUAUUACAGUCCACAACUGUUAUCACGACACCAAACGCAAGUUUAAACGCCUCCCCGAGGCAUGAUGCAUGUUGCAGGAACUGAAAGCAGAACAGGAGCCACAGCGGAGUCAUUCGUUGGCGGCGGAGCUGCGCAGAGCGGGUUCGCCUUGUGGGGCCGCAGGACCGGUAGCGCCUCGCUUCGGCUUGGUGCUGAAGGCCCGGAACUUCGACAACAGAGCCUCCGCGCGACCCUUCACGGCCUCAGCAGCGGCAGCGGCAAGCUCGCCGCUCGCUGGCUCCAGCAUGCUGUCGAAGUCGACGUUGGGGUCGCGAAGGUAGACGUGGGUAAGGACUCGCGUCAGCGCUGCAGAAGACAAGACGCGCACCUCGGCCUCGGCCGUAGGGCCAAGGCCAAGGGUGACAUCUUCAAGGGCACGGACCAUGAAGGGUAGUAGCUUGGCGGGGCCGUCGUCGGUGCUGGCCAGCGGGCUUUCCAGGCCGCUAUCGUAGAGCGACUUCAGCAAGCCGCGAACCUUCACCUCCGUCUCCAUGAAGGCCUCGCGGUCCUCGGCAAGGACCCGCGCCUUGCCGUCCAGCUCGACCUUCCACGCCCCAACUCCUGCUCCAGUACGCCCAGGCGGUCGCGGCUUUGUUAAGCUUGGCGUCUCGGUCCUUGAUGGCCGCCUCGAGAGCUUUCAGGUUUUCUUCCUUCUCUUGGCGGAUGCGGGCCUCCUCGGCAAGCUGGUCCCGCAGGCCCUGCAGUUCGCUCUCCAGCGCCUUGCAACGGCCUUGGGCAUCAGCCGCCUCCCUCAAGGCGGCGUCGCGAGCAGCCUUUGCCUCAAGGACAACCAGCUUCUCCUCAUCGCAAGCCGUCGAGGCAUGAGCCAGUGCCGCUCGAAUCGAAGCGUCAGAGCGGAUCCAGCCAGAAGCCAGCUCCAAGCGCCCGGCCACCAAGCGAGGGUCAGCACCCAGAAGGUCUUGCCACAGCCGGUCCAGUUCGGCAGCAGCGCGAUCCAAGACGGUGGAAGGGGUCGGAGAGACAUCAGUUGGUGGACUAGGAGGAGAGGACGGCAACGUAACCACAGGACCCUGAGGCAGGACCUGCUACGCCCCAACAACUGUGGCGACGGCAUCAGACAGGGACACCUCAGGAGUCGCUUGGGCCAUGGGGGCUGGGCUCGCCCCAGCCUGCUCCACCAGGCCUCGCGAGGACGACCGGGCAGGAGAGGUCCGUGCCUUGCAGCCACCUCCCUUCAUGGGCAGAGGUGCUGCCCCAGACGGAGCCUCAGGAGCCCCCUUCAGCUUCUUCGCCGCAGGCGCCAGCCUAGCCAAGAGAUACAGACAUCAAGCCUCAACGACAAAGCAAGGAACAAGACAAGAAUCGAGCACUUACUCGUCGCCGCUCGUGAGCUCGAGCAACCUCCGGCCGUACUUGAAGCCCGAGAGCCGGCUGCUGGGAUGAGCCUCGCGAGGUUCGGAAGCAGGAGGCACGUCUGCAGAUCGCCUCGGAGCCGGGGCAGACCCGAGGGGGACCAGCCAAGACCUGGCCUUCUUCGAGAUCGGGGGCAAGCUCCCGCCGCCCCGCUCGUCAUCAUCCUCGUCGUCGCUCGGCGAAAGGCGGAGAGCGCGGGACCUGCACCCGGGGAGAGGCGCUCUCGACUCCCCGUCGGUAGCCUCGGAGCCAGGCCCCCCUUCCCGCUCCUCUUCUUCUUCCUCUUCGCUGGAGUCGCCGGAGGACACGUUCACCGUCGCCUGGGCCGCCGGGUCCUCGGGAGCCACCACAGGCAUGGGCCCGUCUCCAUUAAAGACGGGCAUGGAGUCAACCACCUUCUCCCAAUCAUCUCGGAGAAACAGGGGUACGGGGGCGCCCUCCAGCCUCGCCAGGUCCCCUCCGACCAAAGAUUGAAGGACCGCGGUCAGAUCUCCGCCGGCCAAAACUUCGGGGCUCAGGCGGGGCCUCCACAGCGGGAGCGAAUACUUGCGAAGAGGGGCCACCUGAUGCUCUAGGAACUCCCUUAGGAGCGACACGCCGGUCAGCUUCGCCGUCAUCAUGUUCCCCGGCCUCAGAUCCGCGUCCAUCUUCUCCAACACCGGCUUCGCGCAGUGGUCCACGAGUUCCGUGCGAGACCAAUCAUCGGAGCUCGUGGGCUGCUCCGUGGGCAGAAUCAGCCGAGGGUGGAUGCGCCCAGCAUCCACCAUGACCCACUUGCUCCUGAAGCUCUCAAUCCUCUUCCCGGGCUUCGAGAUGGCGUUGGAGCCGCCAUACGCGACGAAGCUCGCGCACACGAAGAGAGGACCGCGAGAGAGCCGGAGGGAGAAGUAGUGGCGCAGCAAGGCCACCGAAGGCUGCACCCCGACAUGAGCCUCGCAAUAAUAUGAGAAGAUCGCCAGAAGAAGGACAGAGUUGGGGUGGAGGUGCAGAGCUUGCAGGUCGUAAUGGCGGAGGACAAAGAAGAAGAACUCAGAGAAAGGAGGUACCAGACCGGAAGCAAUGGCGCUUACGAAGAGCGGGUAGGAG
rnacentral:lncRNA from 1 species